GAUACUGAAACUGAGGCUCAGAAGAGUUGCUUGCUCAAGGUCUCAGUGUGUAGGUCAAAGGACAAGCUAUGGAGCAAUUUUUACUUGAUGCCAAAGUUCAUUUGUGCUACACUGUCACCUCUUAUAUUCUCAUUUUAAAGCUAUUUUAAGUGAGUUGUAAAUAAUAAGAAGAUUUAGUAAGAAGAGAGAUCAAUUCUGUUUUUAGUUCUAGCAUCAGUCCCUAAACCCUUCCCAGUCACUUCUGCCCUUUUUUAUCAUGCAUUUUAUUUUAAUCAUUGAUCUGUACAGUCAUUUCAUAUUCCUCUUUUUUUCUGUACACUUAUUUUUAUGUCAUCUUUUCUACUGGGUUUCUUUAUAUAUUAGAAAAUGGCUAUAUACUUAUACAAAUGUGGCUAUGUGCAAGGAUUGGCGUCCAGUGUGAGAAUAGAAGAUUAGGUUUAGAUAACAGGAGAAAACAUAAGCAAAGGUAUGCCUGGAGACUGUUAGUACAUGUUUCUAUACAUUGAAGUUAGGCAAGACCACACCUUGUUCCAGUUGCAAAAAUCCGUAUUCAUGAUUGCCAUAACCUGAAAACCUUGCCUUGGCUCAGUUCAAUGACUCAACAAGUAGGUUUGCGUGCGUUUGUUUAUUUGACAAUGUUCACUUGUACCCAGUGGAUCUCCAAAACCUAUGUGAAUAUUAGAUUUUAAUAUUUUCAACAGAAAAAAAUAUGUCACUAAGCAUGAUUCUUUGCUAGUAUGCAACUUUGCAGAAAGAACUAUCCAAGUUUUCAAAGUAUACUUUGGCAAUGAGGUGUGGUGGGAGGAGGAUGAAGGCAGCUGCACCAACAUGUCUGUCAAAGGACACCAGUUAUGGAAUGGAAAUCAAGUCUCAUGAGUGAUUGAGUCCCACCCUGCUGCUUACACUCACUGAGCACUUCCUGCAUUUUAGGUGUUCUGCUGUGAAGUGAGGAUGCAAAACUGAGCACCACAUGGGUCUUAUCCUCACUGAGAUCAUAGUUUAGAGGCCAGCUAAUUUUUAAUCACUGCGAGCAAGAUGGCAAAUUCUAGACAGAAAGAGGUGUGUACAGCACAGUAGGCAUGGAGCUUUGUAAGGAUCCCAGUCAUUGCCAGCCUGCCUGGACUGCCAGGUCCCUUCUGCACAACUAAGAAGCCAACCAGUGACUUCUCUGAUGUGCAGAGAAGGACAGAGCAUGAUUGUUUGUCCACUUUUACCCAAGUUUCUUGUCUUCUGAUCCAGGGAAUAGGUAAAUAGGUAUGUGGUAAGUGGGGAAGAAUGGGUUUUGGAGAUGGGCAUUUAAGUGGUUUUAAAUCUUUUGUCAUGGUAAAAAAAAUACUGCAGUAUAAAAGCUUUGAAUAUAAGUCAUUUUAUUUAUGUAGGAGUAUAUGUGUGAAGGAUAAGUUCCAAUAAGCGAAGCUGUCAGGAAAAAGGAUGUGCACAUUUAUAAUUUUGACAUCCAGGAUGGCGAAAAAGUGGGUCUACAGUUGUGAGUAUGUGAAACACAGACAUAAUUCUUGUAUUAUUAAUUAAUUAUUAUAUUAUUUUCCAUCCAAACAAUUGUAAACCUACUUUUGACCCCAUCCUGUAUAUUGCCAAACUAUUCUAAGAAAUUAUCCAAGUUUGCACUCCUACCUGCAAUUAUGAAAGGGUCUAUUUCCAUACAAUCUUGCCAAUGAAGAUUUAUUACACUUUUUGGUAGAUGCCAAUUUGAUAUGUGAAAGCAGUAUCUCGUAGCAGUUUAAUUUUCACUGAUUGUAUGAUGAGUGCAGUGGGGAUACAUGCGAAAUAUAGAAGAACUAUUUGUCUUUUGUUUUCUGUGAACUACCUGUGAAUAUCCCUUUCCAUAGAAUUAAUGAUUUUUUUGUUUGCCUACUUAUUAGCAGCAGUUUUUUUUAAUUAGGAAAAUUUAUUUUUUUAUGUGUGAUACAGCAUACCUUUGGGUUUACAUUCAUGUUCCCACUUCUGUAUUAAACACAUAAACAAAACAUCAUUUCUGAUGAUAAUCUCUUCAAAACUUGUAAAUCUUUUGCCUUAUUUCUCUAUUUCCAUGUAUGAUACUGACUUUUGGUUCUGUCCCAAUAAAGUCAUUUCUUCCUUGUAA